UACGGAGGGUGCAAGCAUUGAUCGGAAUUACUGGGCGUAAAGGGCGCGUAGGCGGCUUUGCAAGUCAGACGUGAAAUUCGCGGGGCUCAACCCCGGAGCUGCGUUUGAAACUGCAGAGCUUAGAGUACAGUUAGGGUAAACGGAAUUCCACGUGUAGCGGUGAAAUGCGUAGAUAUGUGGAAGAACACCGGUGGUGAAGACGGUUUACUGGGCUGAGACAGACGCUGAGGCGCGAAAGCAUGGGGAGCAAACAGG
rnacentral:rRNA from 1 species